rnacentral:rRNA from 2 species
AAAUUGAAGAGUUUGAUCAUGGCUCAGAUUGAACGCUGGCGGCAGGCCUAACACAUGCAAGUCGAACGGUAACAGGAAGAAGCUUGCUUCUUUGCUGACGAGUGGCGGACGGGUGAGUAAUGUCUGGGAAACUGCCUGAUGGAGGGGGAUAACUACUGGAAACGGUAGCUAAUACCGCAUAACGUCGCAAGACCAAAGAGGGGGACCUUCGGGCCUCUUGCCAUCGGAUGUGCCCAGAUGGGAUUAGCUUGUUGGUGGGGUAACGGCUCACCAAGGCGACGAUCCCUAGCUGGUCUGAGAGGAUGACCAGCCACACUGGAACUGAGACACGGUCCAGACUCCUACGGGAGGCAGCAGUGGGGAAUAUUGCACAAUGGGCGCAAGCCUGAUGCAGCCAUGCCGCGUGUAUGAAGAAGGCCUUCGGGUUGUAAAGUACUUUCAGCGGGGAGGAAGGGAGUAAAGUUAAUACCUUUGCUCAUUGACGUUACCCGCAGAAGAAGCACCGGCUAACUCCGUGCCAGCAGCCGCGGUAAUACGGAGGGUGCAAGCGUUAAUCGGAAUUACUGGGCGUAAAGCGCACGCAGGCGGUUUGUUAAGUCAGAUGUGAAAUCCCCGGGCUCAACCUGGGAACUGCAUCUGAUACUGGCAAGCUUGAGUCUCGUAGAGGGGGUAGAAUUCCAGGUGUAGCGGUGAAAUGCGUAGAGAUCUGGAGGAAUACCGGUGGCGAAGGCGGCCCCCUGGACGAAGACUGACGCUCAGGUGCGAAAGCGUGGGGAGCAAACAGGAUUAGAUACCCUGGUAGUCCACGCCGUAAACGAUGUCGACUUGGAGGUUGUGCCCUUGAGGCGUGGCUUCCGGAGCUAACGCGUUAAGUCGACCGCCUGGGGAGUACGGCCGCAAGGUUAAAACUCAAAUGAAUUGACGGGGGCCCGCACAAGCGGUGGAGCAUGUGGUUUAAUUCGAUGCAACGCGAAGAACCUUACCUGGUCUUGACAUCCACGGAAGUUUUCAGAGAUGAGAAUGUGCCUUCGGGAACCGUGAGACAGGUGCUGCAUGGCUGUCGUCAGCUCGUGUUGUGAAAUGUUGGGUUAAGUCCCGCAACGAGCGCAACCCUUAUCCUUUGUUGCCAGCGGUCCGGCCGGGAACUCAAAGGAGACUGCCAGUGAUAAACUGGAGGAAGGUGGGGAUGACGUCAAGUCAUCAUGGCCCUUACGACCAGGGCUACACACGUGCUACAAUGGCGCAUACAAAGAGAAGCGACCUCGCGAGAGCAAGCGGACCUCAUAAAGUGCGUCGUAGUCCGGAUUGGAGUCUGCAACUCGACUCCAUGAAGUCGGAAUCGCUAGUAAUCGUGGAUCAGAAUGCCACGGUGAAUACGUUCCCGGGCCUUGUACACACCGCCCGUCACACCAUGGGAGUGGGUUGCAAAAGAAGUAGGUAGCUUAACCUUCGGGAGGGCGCUUACCACUUUGUGAUUCAUGACUGGGGUGAAGUCGUAACAAGGUAACCGUAGGGGAACCUGCGGUUGGAUCACCUCCUUA